UCGUGAAGCUGGAUUCGCUAGUAAUCGCGCAUCAGCCAUGGCGCGGUGAAUACGUUCCCGGGCCUUGUACACACCGCCCGUCAAGCCAUGAAAGCCGGGGGUACCUGAAGUACGUAACCGCAAGGAUCGUCCUAGGGUAAAACUGGUAAUUGGGGCUAAGUCGUAACAAGGUAGC
rnacentral:rRNA from 1 species